CCUACGGGAGGCAGCAGUGAGGAAUAUUGGUCAAUGGACGAGAGUCUGAACCAGCCAAGUAGCGUGAAGGAUGACUGCCCUAUGGGUUGUAAACUUCUUUUAUAUGGGAAUAAAAUGUUCCACGUGUGGGAUUUUGUAUGUACCAUAUGAAUAAGGAUCGGCUAACUCCGUGCCAGCAGCCGCGGUAAUACGGAGGAUCCGAGCGUUAUCCGGAUUUAUUGGGUUUAAAGGGAGCGUAGGUGGAUUGUUAAGUCAGUUGUGAAAGUUUGCGGCUCAACCGUAAAAUUGCAGUUGAAACUGGCAGUCUUGAGUACAGUAGAGGUGGGCGGAAUUCGUGGUGUCGCGGUGAAAUGCUUAGAUAUCACGAAGAACUCCGAUUGCGAAGGCAGUUCACUGGACUGCAACUGACACUGAGGCUCGAAAGUGUGGGUAUCAAACAGGAUUAGAUACCCCUGUAGUC
rnacentral:rRNA from 1 species